rnacentral:rRNA from 1 species
UACGUAGGGGGCGAGCGUUGUCCGGAUUUACUGGGCGUAAAGGGCGCGUAGGCGGCCUGGUUUGUCGGGGGUGAAAGGUCCGGGCUUAACCUGGACAGGUCUCUCGAAACGGCCAGGCUUUGAGGGCGGUAGAGGCGGGUGGAAUUCCGGGUGUAGUGGUGAAAUGCGUAGAGAUCCGGAGGAACACCGGUGGCGAAGGCGGCCCGCUGGGCCGGCCCUGACGCUGAGGCGCGAAAGCGUGGGGAGCGAACUGA